GAAGGGGGCUAGCGUUGCUCGGAAUCACUGGGCGUAAAGCGCACGUAGGCGGAUUGUUAAGUCAGGGGUGAAAUCCUGGAGCUCAACUUCGGAACUGCCUUUGAUACAGCACGUCUUGAGUCCGAUAGAGGUGGGUGGAAUUCCUAGUGUAGAGGUGAAAUUCGUAGAUAUUAGGAAGAACACCGGUGGCGAAGGCGGCAUCCUGGACCAACACUGACGCUGAGGAGCGAAAGCCAGGGGAGCAAACGGG
rnacentral:rRNA from 1 species